AACCUCAUCGGCCGCAAGGGAUUCCUUCCGGUCGAUGAGGUAUAACAACCUCAUUGACUGGAAGGAAUCCCUUCCGGUCAAUGAGAUUGUCAUACCUCAUCGAUUGGAAGGGAUUCCUUCCAUCAAUGAGGAUGUUAUACCUCAUUGACCGGAAGGAAUCCCUUCCGGCCGAUGAGGUU
rnacentral:miRNA from 1 species